AUAAAUAUGGUGUGGUGGCACACACAUAUGCCCAGUAUUAAUGAGUUGGAAGCAGGAAGACAGCUUUGGCUGUGUGAGACUGUCUGGACGAUUAACCAACCAACCAACCAACCAACCAACCAACCAACCAACCAACCAGCCAACCGAUCAACGAAGACAUCAGUCACUUCUAAGGCGUUAACUGUGGAGUGUGGGCUUGGUGCAUGGCCAGCUCCAAGUGAUCAGCAGGGCAGUCAUUCUGGCACUACCAGGUAUUAUGGCUCCUUUGAAGGCAAAGCAUUUGCCAAACAGAGCACUGACACAUGGCUUGGUGGCCUGGACCACAGGAGAGAGGAGUCAGCCGAAGACUGCUGAGUGUACAGCCAGCAGCAUAUUGCACACCCACCCACACUGGUCCAUCCAUCCAUCCAUCCAUCCAUCCAUCCAUCCAUCCAUCCAUCCAUGCAUGCAUGCAUGCAUUUAUUCAUUGCAGGCGAGUUCCCCAGUUGGUUGAGGGAGCAGAUAACAAAACAGCUGGCAGAGCCACCUUGAGAUGGUGGAAGAAGGGAGAGGAAGGAUAGUGCAGGGAGCCUGGGAGACGAGGCUGCCACUUUGCUGACCCGUGUGCACAGACACAGCACAGUGGGGAAUCCCACUGAGGGGGCCUAGACAGACAAAGGUGAAUGCUGGGUAGAGUGCAGAAGAUCAGCUAGGUGUCCAGGAAGCUGCAAGGUUGAGUUAGCUUGCUUGGCUCACUGCUGGGACAUAGAGGACUGUGCUUUCCAGGGUUAUUGGACUGCUCUUGGGGCACUCCUUCCUGGGGUGGGAGUCAUUAGAGCUUGGCUCAGUGCAGCGGAUGGGAGGACUUACCAGGGAAGAGCGACUUCCCCAACCCCAGGAAACCAGGAUGUGUGUCCUGAGACUCCUGCUCACUCUGCACGUCCCUGAAGAAGAGACAACAGCCACUGGGCCCUCUCAGACUCCGGCGGAUGUCCUGGGGCAAACAGUCUGGCUCUGUCCUGUUCUGAGGAGUCCUGGAGACACAGCUGUCACAUUUGCAGCCCCCAGACUUAGGAGGAGCCAGCUCUGUGUCCAGAGGGUGACGGAAAGCUGUCCAGGAGUACCUUGUCUUGAAGACAGAUUCUCAUUAGAGUCGGAGAGAAGCACUUGUCCCACAACUCUGCAAGCGAGGAGUCAGGGCAACAAGGAGAGAGAAUUCUGAGAAGAGAGGAAAAAGCAAAGCAGCAGGAGAGCUGGAGGAAAGGGGAGCAGAGGAACCAACAAACCAGCAAUCCGCAGCUAACCAGCUAAGCCCAGCUCUCUAGCUGGGGGCAGAGACCAGAUCCUGCAAGCAUCAGGUAAGCCCAGAUGUGACCAAGCCCAAGUGCUGAUAGCUACCCUACAGACAUCAAGGGUGAGACGUCCACACUCCUUCCUAGCUUUAAAUACGGUUCAGGGGAUCUGCUCAAAAGAUGACACCCACUUUGCAAAGCAUGCAAAGAAGGAAUCCAGGCUGCAGCUCUGAAGGCUCCAUGAUGAACAACUGUAACGAGGAG
rnacentral:lncRNA from 1 species